GUGGACCUACGGGAGGCAGCAGUGAGGAAUAUUGGUCAAUGGGCGCGAGCCUGAACCAGCCAAGUCGCGUGAGGGAAGACGGUCCUAUGGAUUGUAAACCUCUUUUGUCGGGGAGCAAAAGACGCCACGUGUGGCGUUCCGAGAGUACCCGAAGAAAAAGCAUCGGCUAACUCCGUGCCAGCAGCCGCGGUAAUACGGAGGAUGCGAGCGUUAUCCGGAUUUAUUGGGUUUAAAGGGUGCGCAGGCGGAAGAUUAAGUCAGCGGUAAAAUUGAGAGGCUCAACCUCUUCGAGCCGUUGAAACUGG
rnacentral:rRNA from 1 species